UGAUAGAAGACUUGCAAAUUCAAUCAUUACUUGAAUCUAUAACACACUGCUUUAUUAAUUUUAGUACUUCUCUUCAGGUUAUGCUAACUGCUCUUGGACUGGCCAAGGAGAUUGACGGAUCACGCAGAUCAAUUUCAAUGUGUGGAACAACAGAGUACAUGGCUCCGGAAAUCUAACUCGCUAAAGGCCACAAUGAAAACGCAGAUUGGUGGAGCGUCGGGAUUUUUUUCUAUGAGAUGCUUAGUGGCCAGGUAAUACAAUUGGUCAAGAAAGGGGGGGUUUAGUACCUUGUUCAAAAACCAUAUAUUUAUCACUCAUUUUUUAUUAUGUUUGGUAAUAUCUGAUGAAAUUGUGAGUGCAGUGUUAUAAAACUCAGUCUGCAGUGGAAUCUAAAGAUGGGUCUAAAAUGUUUUGUUGAUUGUGCAAACAAGAGGGAACUGCUUGAUUUUAGCUAUAUCCCCGGGUUUGUUGCUAGUGUUCAUGCAAAAAAUAUGAUCUUGUUCUUUCUUUUAAUUUUGACUCUGUCUCAUGACACCAUAACUAUUCUAUUCUUUUCAGCCACCAUUCACCCAUCCAAACAGAAAGAAGCUUCGGGAAAAAAUCAUGAAUGAAAAAAUGAAAUUUUUGUUGGAAUAUAGUGGCGUUAAUGAAAUCGAAUUAUCACGUGCUGUAUAUGUAGUUUAAACACCAAUUUUAAGCAUACCGUAUAUGCAUAUACUGUAUAUUGCGCUUACCGUGUUGGAAUAUAGUGGUGUUAAUGAAAUCGAAUUAUCACGUGCUGUAUGUGUAGUUUAAACACCAAAUUUAAGCAUACCGUAUAUACAUAUACUGUAUAUUGCGCUUACCGUAUUUGCAGGUAGCUUACCG
rnacentral:lncRNA from 1 species